ACAGAAAACUGCAUGAAUAGGACAGUCUGUUUUCAUUUUCCUAGUUAAAUAUUGGUGCUUCAAAGAUGCAAUUAACAUUUUCUAUUUGAAAGGGUUGUUGGGGUGCUAAAGCUGGAAUAGUUCUUCAGAAAUGGCCAGCGCAUUUAUAAAAACAAUAAGUCAAUUAUGCUGCUUAUGGACUAUAGAUUUUAGUACACCCGUUAAGAAAUAUAAUCCCCUUAAAGGUUGUCGAUUAAGUAUAGACUAAAGGUAGCAUCUGCUUAAAGGGAUUUGAGGUGGUGUUUCUUUUAGAACCUGAAGAAAACUACCCAGUUCUUUGGGCAUAACUGCUGGUUGCUAUUGGUUGACUCGUUUAUUUGUAGAAAAUGUCCGAAACCAAUACAGAGAAUCGAAAUAAGUUGAAGUGUCCGCACACUGCUGGCAGAACACCUUUUGCUCUAAUUCGUGAGGUUUUUACAUUUCUUUUGUCGAAUGUUGCUGCAAAAUAGAUCAUCUUUUUUACUACUUACCAACUGUCCCGCAUACCAAAUGGAUGAUGAAGACGAUGAAGAACUAGACCUUACUUGAAAUGAAUUUUGAAUUGUUACAGAUGAAUGUUCUAGGAAUCUUUUGUUACCAACAUUUUUGAACUUAUUUACGCUCUUUAAUUGUACUAAAUUUAUGCACUCAUGGGGUAGAACAUUUGCUUUAUGGA